ACUUCCUCACUUCUGAACUAUGUUCCUGACAUCUGGAAACCAUUAAAAACUGGGGAAAAAGGAAAAUGUUCAAAGAAGCAGAAUCAGUUGUCUUUUCAAGCUUCAUGCAUUGGGAAAGUCCUUCUGUCAUCCACCCAAGGAAGACACGAGAAAAAGUGGCUUACAACAACAACAAAGAAAUGAUUCGUCAGGUAUAGAGAGGGCUUACUCCUGUGUCUAUGGGUUGACCAGGCCCAAAUGGAUUCCAUGGACAAGAAGAAAUGAUAUACACAAGAAUUGGUUAAGUUGGGCACCACAAAAGUUUGCAUCCUCCAGAAAAGUGC